UACGGAGGGUGCAAGCGUUAUCCGGAUUCACUGGGUUUAAAGGGCGCGUAGGUGGGAAUGUAAGUCAGUGGUGAAAUCUCCGUGCUUAACACAGAAACUGCCAUUGAUACUAUGUUUCUUGAAUUUUCUGGAGGUUAGCGGAAUAUGUCAUGUAGCGGUGAAAUGCUUAGAUAUGACAUAGAACACCAAUUGCGAAGGCAGCUAACUACAGGGAUAUUGACACUGAGGCUCGAAAGCGUGGGGAUCAAACAGG
rnacentral:rRNA from 1 species